AGCAGCCGCGGUAAUUCCAGCUCCAAUAGCGUAUAUUAAAGUUGUUGCAGUUAAAAGCUCGUAGUUGAAUUUCGGAAUCUGUCCAUCGGUCGGGCUUCACUGUCCGUACUGGUGUGGUGGGUUCUUACCUUCUGAAUAACCAGCAUGCCAUUCACUUGGUGCGCUGGGGAAGCAGGACUAUUACCUUGAAAAAUUAGAGUGCUCAAAGCAGGCUAGUGCCUGAAUACAUUAGCAUGGAAUAAUAAAAUAGGACGGCAUGGUUCUAUUUUGUGGUUUCUAGGAUCACCGUAAUGAUUAAUAGGGAUAGUUGGGGGCAUUAGUAUUCAAUUGUCAGAGUGAAAUUCUUGGAUUUAUUGAAGACUAACUACUGCGAAAGCAUUGCCAA
rnacentral:misc_RNA from 1 species